rnacentral:rRNA from 1 species
GAUGAACGCUGGCGGCGUGCUUAACACAUGCAAGUCGAACGAUGAAGCCCAGCUUGCUGGGUGGAUUAGUGGCGAACGGGUGAGUAACACGUGAGUAACCUGCCCUUAACUCUGGGAUAAGCCUGGGAAACUGGGUCUAAUACCGGAUAGGAGCGCCUACCGCAUGGUGGGUGUUGGAAAGAUUUAUCGGUUUUGGAUGGACUCGCGGCCUAUCAGCUUGUUGGUGAGGUAAUGGCUCACCAAGGCGACGACGGGUAGCCGGCCUGAGAGGGUGACCGGCCACACUGGGACUGAGACACGGCCCAGACUCCUACGGGAGGCAGCAGUGGGGAAUAUUGCACAAUGGGCGAAAGCCUGAUGCAGCGACGCCGCGUGAGGGAUGACGGCCUUCGGGUUGUAAACCUCUUUCAGUAGGGAAGAAGCGAAAGUGACGGCACCUGCAGAAGAAGCACCGGCUAACUACGUG